CUUGGCGGCCAUAGCGCGGUGGUCCCACCUGAUCCCAUGCCGAACUCAGAAGUGAAACGCCGUAGCGC
rnacentral:rRNA from 1 species